rnacentral:rRNA from 1 species
CACGUAGGGGGCUAGCGUUGUCCGGAAUCAUUGGGCGUAAAGAGCGUGUAGGCGGCCCGGUAAGUCCGCUGUAAAAGUCAAAGGCUCAACCUUUGAAUGUCAGUGGAUACUGCCGGGAUAGAGUCCGGAAGAGGCGAGUGGAACUCCUGGUGUAGCGGUGGAAUGCGCAGAUAUCAGGAGGAACACCGAUGGCGAAGGCAGGUCUCUGGGCCACUACUGACGCUGAGAAGCGAAAGCAUGGGGAGCGAACAGG